rnacentral:rRNA from 1 species
GAUCCUGGCUCAGGAUGAACGCUAGCGACAGGCCUAACACAUGCAAGUCGAGGGGCAACAUGGUAUCAGCUUGCUGAUACCGAUGGCGACCGGCGCACGGGUGAGUAACGCGUAUGUAAUCUACCUGUAACAGAGGGAUAACCCGGAGAAAUCCGGACUAAUACCUCAUAGCACAUAUUAUUCGCAUGAAUUUUAUGUUAAAGAGACUCGGUUACAGGUGAACAUGCGUUCCA